GUUGCUGAUGGGGUUGUUCCUAGAGUCAUGCUAACAUCAGAAGUCACCUGUGCUGGCUGGGAAUGUGUCUGUGUGACUGUGCUCUGGUGGGUGUCUGGUGGCUUGCUCGUUGUGGAGAUUGUUCCUAGAGUUGGGAGUUCAGCUGUAGUGUCCUUUUCCUGUGUCUCAGCUAUGGCUGUGCUAAGAACAGUGGUCCUUGGGAUGGCUGUGGUGGGUGAAGAUGUGUUUGUAACUGCCAUAGUUGUCACGGGGAGAGGUUUGUUUGUGUCACCGACUUUGUCCAGUGUUGAUGAGGGUAGAGUUGAAGUUGACUUCUCAGGGACAGUGGGUGUCCCAGUUUGAGAUGAUGGGCUGGCAUGCUCUGGUGUGCUUAACACCAAUGUCAUUGAAGGUGUCAUCACGGUCCUAUCAGUGUCCCUGAGGUUUGGGGACACUGAUGAUACCAAUCCAGUGUUGGUGAACUUUGUUGCUGAUGGGGUUGUUCCUAGAGUCAUGCUAACAUCAGAAGUCACCUGUGCUGGCUGGGAAUGUGUCUGUGUGACUGUGCUCUGGUGGGUGUCUGGUGGCUUGCUCGUUGUGGAGAUUGUUCCUAGAGUUGGGGGUUCAGCUGUAGUGUCCUUUUCCUGUGUCUCAGCUAUGACAAUGCUAAGAACAGUGGUCCUUGGGAUGGCUGUGGUGGGUGAAGAUGUGUUUGUAACUGCCAUAGUUGUCACGGGGAGAGGUUUGUUUGUGUCACCGACUUUGUCCAGUGUUGAUGAGGGUAGAGUUGAAGUUGACUUCUCAGGGACAGUGGGUGUCCCAGUUUGAGAUGAUGGGCUGGCAUGCUCUGGUGUGCUUAACACCAAUGUCGUUGAAGGUGUCAUCAUGGUCCUAUCAGUGUCCCUGAGGUUUGGGGACACUGAUGAUACCAAUCCAGUGUUGGUGAACUUUGUUGCUGAUGGGGUUGUUCCUAGAGUCAUGCUAACAUCAGAAGUCACCUGUGCUGGCUGGGAAUGUGUCUGUGUGACUGUGCUCUGGUGGGUGUCUGGUGGCUUGCUCGUUGUGGAGAUUGUUCCUAGAGUUGGGGGUUCAGCUGUAGUGUCCUUUUCCUGAGUCUCAGCUGUGGCUGUGCUAA
rnacentral:lncRNA from 1 species